ACCUGACUGGCUCAGUUGGUAGAGCAUGUGACAUUUGAUCUCAGAAUUGUAAGUUCGAGCCCCAUGUUAGGUG
rnacentral:tRNA from 1 species